rnacentral:rRNA from 1 species
CCCAGACUCCUACGGGAGGCAGCAGUGGGGGAUAUUGCACAAUGGGGGGAACCCUGAUGCAGCGACGCCGCGUGGGUGAAGGAGCGUUUCGGCGCGUAAAGCCCUAUCGGCAGGGAAGAAGGAGGACGGUACCUGACUAAGAAGCCCCGGCUAACUACGUGCCAGCAGCCGCGGUAAUACGUAGGGGGCAAGCGUUAUCCGGAUUUACUGGGUGUAAAGGGGGCGCAGACGGCAGCGCAAGCCAGGAGUGAAAGCCCGGGGCCCAACCCCGGGACUGCUCUUGGAACUGCGCGGCUGGAGUGCAGGAGGGGCAGGCGGAAUUCCUGGUGUAGCGGUGAAAUGCGUAGAUAUCAGGAGGAACGCCGGUGGCGAAGGCGGCCUGCUGGACUGCGACUGACGUUGAGGCCCGAAAGCGUGGGGAGCAAACAGGAUUAGAUACCCCCGUAC